UCCUUUAGAAAAAUAAUUGAAGGUAAGCCCUGCCCUAUGUUUUCAUAAAUGGCCGCAGUACCCUGACUGUGCUAAGGUAGCAUAAUCAUUUGUCUUUUAAUUAAAGACUAGCAUGAAUGGGUAAACAUAAUAAGUACUGUCUCAUUUAUACCCCUAAAAACUUUACUUUUGGUGAAAAUACCAAAAUCAAAAAGAAGGACAAGAAGACCCUGUGGAGCUUUAAAUUUAUUUUUAGUUGGGGCGACUUUGGAAAACACAUAUCUUCCUACAUUUAUAAGACCUAUUAGUCUAAUUUUGAACCUAAGGGAACAAAAACUAAGCUACCCCAGGGUUAACAGGCUUAAAUUCUUUAAGAGCCCAUAUUGACAAGACUAUUUGGCACCUCGAUGUUGGCUUAGUAAAUCUAUCUGUUGCAGAAGACAGACAAGAAGGUUUGUUCACCCUUUAAUAUACUACGUGAUCUG
rnacentral:rRNA from 1 species